AUUGAACGCUGGCGGCAGGCCUAACACAUGCAAGUCGAGCGAGCGGCGGACGGGUGAGUAAUGUCUGGGAAACUGCCUGAUGGAGGGGGAUAACUACUGGAAACGGUAGCUAAUACCGCAUACCAUCAGAUGUGCCCAGGUGGGAUUAGCUAGUAGGUGGGGUAACGGCUCACCUAGGCGACGAUCCCUAGCUGGUCUGAGCGGAUGGCCAGCCCCGUUGGAACUGAGGCACGGUCCAGGCUCCUACGGGGGGCAGCAGUGGGGAAUAUUGCACAAUGGGCGCAAGCCUGAUGCAGCCAGGCCGCGUGUGUGAAGAAGGCCUUCGGGUUGUAAAGCACUUUCAGCGGGGAGGCGUUACCCGCAGAAGAAGCACCGGCUAACUCCGUGCCAGCAGCCGCGGUAAUUC
rnacentral:rRNA from 1 species